CAGAGGAGUACGUGCAACUCUCCCAUUGGUGUAUUCGGGAAAUAAACCAGCUCUGUGUAGUUGGCAGUCAGCUGCCCUCAGGAACUAAACAUUCUGGUCUGCUCCUUCAUGCUGUCACUUGAAUAUCUUGGAAGACUGAUCUGAAGAGGACAAGCCUGAGGAGACCAAUUUGCAGAUUGCUCCAGAUUCGCAUGCAGAAAAAUUGGUUAGACUUCUAUAUCUCUAAAGUUAAGAAGAUUUAUCACUGUGAACUAGGAUAGAUCUGCAUUGGAAGGUGCAUUGGAAGGGAAAAGCAACAAAAUCUGUGAAAUAAAGCUAACUCUGAGAAAAAGAAUCAUCAGGUAUAGUGACUAGAGUUUGAGAUAUAUAAGAAUGAUUGUGGCACAGCAUGUAGCUGAUGCCAGAAUUUCCUCAGGAUUCAGCCAGUCUGGACUGGUGUCAGCCUUGUGGAAAAUGAUAUAAGAGAGCUACAACUUUGGAGCUUACUAUUGGAUACCACUGUAGCACUAGAAAGGCCCAGCUAGCAAGGGCAUGUCAGAGAGAUAUCAGACUUUGGAGGACCCAUCUUCAGCAGUGACAGUAUGGGAUGUGUUACAACAUGUGGCAAUUGUGGUCUAAUCAGUCUCUUACCUUAAUGGAAGCAGGACUCGUCCACUUGAGAUAACGUCAAUCCCUAGAACUUUUGGAUAACAGGGUUAAGUAGGAGACUUGAGAGUAGAUCCCAAGGGGAGAAACUGGGCUGAGUACUAAUAGCCCAUGCUGGGGGAGAGGGUAAAGUAUGUAACAACAACAAAAAUCUAUGUGACCAUAUUUUGUAAGUGUAUGUAUUUGAGCUGAGUUUAGGAAGUAGAUUGUAUCAUUCAUUCAACAUAUUUCCUCCAAGAGGAUCUCACUCUCCUGGUCUCAGACAAGGGCCACUGCAUCUCCAUUUGCAAGGCCAAUUCAUUUCCCUCUGAUAUUUUACUGAAUAGAAACACAUACACACAGAGUUAAUUUUUCAUUUCUUUUCAAGUUAGAUUGGCUUCUCAGAACCCAUUUCUAUGAGUCAGCUUUCUAUCAAAGGGUUUCACACAAGAGAUCAACCUCAGGAAUGAGGAAUACUGUAUAAAAAAAUGAAAAAAACAUUACUGAAUAAAAAAUCAGGCACAAUAGUUUAUCAAAAAAGAAAUAAAAGCCUAAUGGUCCAUAAAAUUUAGUUUGUUUUGUACUUAUUAACUUAUAUAAUCUAUGACCAGCCUACCUUCUCCUAAGAGACAUAUUACUAGUAAAGUAGACCAAAUUCACUAUCCUUUCUACUCAUUCUGAAUGAAUUCUUAUAAUUCAGUCAGUUAAGCAGUGUUAUUAUUAGUGUGUCUAUAAAACCUGAGAGACCACGGUCUCCAGCAGUCCAGAUAUCCUGAGCCAAUUGUCAUAUACUGGGCUACCUUCACCUGGGGAACCAUGGUCCUAUAUAUAAUUGGCUAUGAGAUAAGAAUUUGAAAAGGUACAAUAUAAAUGCUAGAGAAUAUGGGAAAACAAUUUUUGU